CUUUGGUCAUGUCUGGAACACGAACUGUCGGACUGCUGCUGCUACUGUGGGGCUGCGCCUGCCUGCGGCUGCCCGGCGCGGCUCAGGGCGCUUUGGUCAUCCCCGGGCCGGAUGGAGGCGCCGAGGAGGCAAGACAUUCUGCCAGGCUGUUGCAG